UUUGCUCUGUGCUGCAGCGCAAGUUCAUCCUCCCCCGAUGGCGCACUUCACUGUCACGGGCAGGACCCUCACUGUCAGUCCGAGGACAUCAAGCCCUAGCACAGGAAGGGACAUUUUCACACUAAUCUGUGCCAGCUGGAGCAGUCCUGCCAUCUGAUUAUCAUAUUUUGGAACACUGGGAAGCUAGGAUGCAGUUAACAGGAGACAGAACAUUCUGAACACUUCAAGACAUGCUUAGAAGGCCCCUCGAUGUCAGUGGAAAAGGGGCUGCAGAUGUUAUCUGAGAAACCAAGUUAUCUCUAUACAACAAAAUCAUGUAUCAAAACGCAAUGGAGAGAGAGCCUGCAGAAGUGAGAGGUUCCCGGAGCACUACAGGAAAUGGGACCUUGAAAUACAGAAGACAAAGUACAGGCUCAUGAAUGUCUGGACAACAUACCAGCAAGUUGAGCCUGACCAACUGCACUGACAUCCUGAUGAGUCGGCUUGACUCAAGAAGACGGGUUCCAAGUAAUUCAGGGUCACGCAGCAGAGAGAGAUGGGGAUUAGUCAAGGGUGUUCACUUGCUCACUCACCAACUAUCCCGAUUGAAUUCCCACACUACGCUAGGCACUUUUUAGGGAGCUGUGUACAUUUUUCUGUGGAGGCACAGGGUUAGGACAUUAUCUCUUCCAAGGAUACAAAUUUCUCUGCGCAUUUAUUCCUUGUCUACCAAAAACCUUCUAUUUCCUCUUUUAACCUCCAUGGUUACCUGCAAAUAGGAAGGCAGGAAGUCUAACAUGAUGAAUGGAGCCACCAGAUAUGUGCAUUCCUUACUGUAAAAGAUCACACAGGAAUUCUAGUUUAUAGAUUCCCCAAUGUGACCAUUCAGACUUUGGGAGCCUGAUUCAAUUUGAAAGAGUAGAUAAAAUAUAGUAUCUAGAAGUGCCAAGUUGAGGAUGAGACCCAAGACCAGGGUGUGGCCACUACCCUGUGAAUACUGGGAGGUCCCCCAGCCUCCCCUCACAUUUCUCUUAAACUUUUCAAAGUCACCUCCUGGGACCCCAGGGGUGUGAAUUCCAAGGGCUCUAACAGCUCUGAGAUUAUAGGCUGAACUUAGGCAUCAGAAUUGCUAGAGAGCGUUAUCUCAGUUCUGAGAAAUGGUUAAAACUACCCUUGGCAGUCAUAUGUGGAACCACUUAUUUCAUUACGAUGGAUAUUUUCUUGUAGGAACAAUGCAUAGUGAAAACCCAAUGGGAUAACCAACAUAAAACUGAUUUUGUUUUCUAUUUGAUAUAACAAUUGCAUUUCACUUGUUUGUUGUAUGUACUGGUGAACUUUCUUACUUUUUAAAAACAGACACCUGGAAAAUUUUAUACAUUUUUCCUAUAAUGUCCUUUAAAGCAUGAAACGUGUUUAUUAUGACAGUGUAUACAACUGGUGUUCAUGGCCAAUAACAAUUUUUUUCUCUAGGUUGAUGGUCCUUAAUAAAAGCAUUUUCUCACCU